ACGGGUGAGUAAUGUCUGGGGAUCUGCCCGAUAGAGGGGGAUAACCACUGGAAACGGUGGCUAAUACCGCAUAACGUCGCAAGACCAAAGAGGGGGACCUUAGGGCCUCUCACUAUCGGAUGAACCCAGAUGGGAUUAGCUAGUAGGCGGGGUAACGGCCCACCUAGGCGACGAUCCCUAGCUGGUCUGAGAGGAUGACCAGCCACACUGGAACUGAGACACGGUCCAGACUCCUACGGGAGGCAGCAGUGGGGAAUAUUGCACAAUGGGCGCAAGCCUGAUGCAGCCAUGCCGCGUGUAUGAAGAAGGCCUUCGGGUUGUAAAGUACUUUCAGCGGGGAGGAAGGCGAUGUGGUUAAUAACCGCGUCGAUUGACGUUACCCGCAGAAGAAGCACCGGCUAACUCCGUGCCAGCAGCCGCGGUAAUACGGAGGGUGCAAGCGUUAAUCGGAAUUACUGGGCGUAAAGCGCACGCAGGCGGUCUGUUAAGUCAGAUGUGAAAUCCCCGGGCUUAACCUGGGAACUGCAUUUGAAACUGGCAGGCUUGAGUCUCGUAGAGGGGGGUAGAAUUCCAGGU
rnacentral:rRNA from 1 species